rnacentral:misc_RNA from 1 species
GAUGAAGAACGUAGCGAAAUGCGAUAAGUAAUGUGAAUUGCAGAAUUCAGUGAAUCAUCGAAUCUUUGAACGAACAUUGCGCCCCUUGGUAUUCCGAGGGGCAUGCCUGUUCGAGCGUCAUUAUAACCCCUCAAGCUCAGCUUGGUGUUGGGGCCUGCUGCACUGGCAGCCCUUAAAAUCAGUGGCGGCGCCAUCUGGCUCUAAGCGUAGUAAUUCUUCUCGCUAUGGAGUCCUGGUGGAUGCUUGCCAUCAACCCCCAAUUUUUCUAUGGUUGACCUCGGAUCAGGUAGGGAUACCCGCUGAACUUAAGCAUAUCAAUAAGCGGAGGA